GUAUGUGAACCGUGGAGGUAGAAUCGGGUUCCUGGACAUGCAGGAGGUUAAGCACCAUUUGCCCGAAGGCGCAAAACAAAAAAGAAAGUCUGUUUAUUGAACACACAGUUAGACACCUUGGCAAUUGAGAUAACUUUCAGCAGUAACUUGUGCAGAUAAAUAUAGCAGUACAGUUCCUGGGAGCGCAGUGGUAAUGAAUACUGUGGCAAUGCAGGAUGAGAUGUAACAAAGUCCUUGCAAGACCUGGAGUUGGAAAGUCCAUAGGCCACAGCUAACCGCUAUAACAGGGAACGAGCUGGUACUGCCCAGCAGAUGACACACUGGAAGCUGGGUUGGCACAAGAGCACAGAGGUUGAAGGGAACUUGGAAGAAUUGCCGGGGAUGCCGGAUGGAACCGGUGCAGACAGAAGGUGUACUGAACUCUCCGCUGAAGAUAGAGUCUGAUGCGCUGCCGGGAUCACGGAGAGGAGACUGAGGCAAUGUUGUACAGCGCGCUGCACACAGACAGCGCAGGUGGAAUCCAGGCUUGGAGCGCUGGGCCAGUCUCAGGAGACACUUGGAAGACAGCUGAGGGGAUUGUGGUUCCUCGCUUUGUGAACUGGCCAAAAUGGCUUCUGGUGGCUGAGCCAACACAGUGGAGAUGCGCCGUUGUGGUAGAGAGGAUGCGGCUCAAGACGGCGUCUCUUGCUUCCCCUCUUCUGGAGACUGGCAGACCCCUGUGACUGGCAGACCCCUGUGAAGGGUGAAGGUCGUCUUAGUGGAGUGUGGUGCGAUUAUGAAGUUCCUAUGGGUUAAAAUAGACAUUAUAAUUCUGUCUUUCUAUGUGUUUUCAGAAUAUGUGUAUCCACAAAAAUAUUACCUGCAUCGCCAGCAUCCGCAUCUCUUGGCAGUGUGGUUUGUGUCCUGGCUGUGCUGGCUCUCUUUCCUACUGUAGAAAUAUGAAGUUUGGACUUAUGAUCAUUAUAUUGUGAUUAGAUAUUUGAAACAAAAAACUUUCUGUGAUGUGGACAUAUG